ACCACAACUGCAGUUCCUACUUCAACAACCACAACUGCAGUUCCUACUUCAACAACCACAACUGCAGAACCUACUACAACAACCACAACUGCAGUUCCUACUUCAACAACCACAACUGCAGAACCUACUACAACAACCACAACUGCAGUUCCUACUACAUCAACCACAACAACAGUUCCUACUACAACAACAACUGAAGCUCCUACUACAACAACCACAACUGCAGAACCUACUACAACAACCACAACUGCAGUUCCUACUUCAACAACCACAACUGCAGUUCCUACUACAACAACCACAACUGCAGAACCUACUACAACAACCACAACUGCAGUUCCUACUUCAACAACCACAACUGCAGAACCUACUACAACAACCACAACUGCAGUUCCUACUACAUCAACCACAACAACAGUUCCUACUACAACAACAAUAACUGAGGCUCCUACUACAACAACAACUGAAGCUCCUACUACAACAACCACAACUGCAGUUCCUACUACAACCACCACAACUGCAGAACCUACUACAUCAACCACAACAACAGUUCAUACUACAACAACAAUAACUGAGGCUCCUACUACAACAACCACAACUGCAGAACCUACUACAACCAACACAACUGCAGUUCCUACUACAACAACCACAACUGCAGAACCUACUACAACAACCACAACUGCAGUUCCUACUUCAACAACCACAACUGCAGAACCUACUACAACAACCACAACCACAGUUCCUACUACAACAACCACAACUGCAGUUCCUACUACAACAACCACAACCGCAGUUCCUACUACAACAACCACAACUGCAGAACCUACUACAACAACCACAACUGCAGUUCCUACUACAUCAACCACAACAACAGUUCCUACUACAACAACAAUAACUGAGGCUCCUACUACAACAACCACAACUGCAGUUCCUACUUCAACAACCACAACUGCAGAACCUACUACAACAAUCACAACUGCAGAACCUACUACAACAACCACAACUGCAGUUCCUACUACAUCAACCACAAUUCCUGAUGUAACAACCACAACUACAGCUCCUCCUACAACAACAAUAACUGAGGCUCCUACUACAACAUCAACUGCAGCUCCUACUAUAAUAACAGGAGCAGCAGCUCUUACUAAAACCACAGCUCCUACUACAACAACCCCAGCACCUUAUACAACAACUACAGCUCCUACUACAACAACAACAACUGAGGCUCCUACUACAACAACCACAGAUCCAAUUACGACAACAACAGCUCCUGCAACGAUAACCAAAACUGUAGCUCAUAUCACAACAACAGUAGAUCCUAAUACAACAACUACAGCACCUUAUACAACAACCACAGCUCCUACUACAACAACCCCAGCACCUUAUACAACAACCACAGCUCCUACUACAACAACCCCAGCACCUUAUACAACAACCACAGCUCCUACUACAACAACCCCAGCACCUUAUACAACAACCACAGCUCCUAAUACAACUUCAGCUCCUAAUACAACUACAGCUCCUAAUACAACAACUACUGCUCCUAAUACAACAACUACAGCUCCUAAUACAACAACUACAGCUCCUGAUACAACAACUACAGCUCCUGAUACAACAACUACAGCUCCUAAUACAACAACUACAGCUCCUGAUACAACAACUACAGCUCCUAAUAUAAUACAGUCAACCAUGCAUAGUGGGUCUGGAUAUAAGUUGGUACUGAGGGUGAAAUUCACCAUGACAACAGACCUAACUGAAUCUGAAAUCUUGAAGCAGCUUCGUGAGGAACUGAUCAGCCGAGGGCUGCCAGAAGGCUUUACACUGCGUUUGAGAAUCAUUUCAUGACAGAAGCAAACCUGAUCACAAAGAAAGUUACAUGGCGUCAUGACGAUGGCCUGUUGGGGGAGGUUUAUGACCCCCAUGUCAUAUCACUUAAUCCGUCAUAGCAAAGACACGACAACAGAUAACUUGCAAUAGAUUACCCUCAAGAUUACAUUAUUACCACAUGACCAACGGUAACUGGACCUAAUGUAUUAGCAACUAAAUAUCUACAGUGCCUUCAGAAAGUUCACACCCCUUGACUUUUCCAACAUUUUGUUGUGUUACAAAGUGUCAUUAAAAAUGAUUGAAUUGUAUUGUUUUGUAAACGAUCUACACAAAGUACUCUGUAAUGUCAAAGUGGAGAAAAAAAUUCAAACAUUGGUAAAAUAAAUAUGAUGUAUUAAUGAA